rnacentral:ncRNA from 2 species
AUAUUUGUGCAGGGGAGCUUCUAACCCGAGGCUGAGAGGAGGACGGAAGUCCUCGACCCUUGAACCUGAUCCGGGUAAUGCCGGCGUAGGGAGCAAACCAAAAACAAAA